UACGGAUGGGGCGAGCGUUGUUCGGAAUCAUUGGGCGUAAAGGGCGCGUAGGUGGUUCUGUAUGUCUACCGUGAAAGCGUACGGCUCAACCGUAUUUUGUCGGUAGAAACUGCAGGACUUGAGGCUGGGAGGGGCUGGUGGAAUUCCCUGUGUAGCGGUGAAAUGCGUAGAGAUAGGGGAGAACACUCGUGGCGAAGGCGGCCAGCUAGACCAGUUCUGACACUGAGGCGCGCCAGCGUGGGGAGCAAACAGG
rnacentral:rRNA from 1 species